rnacentral:rRNA from 1 species
AUUGAACGCUGGCGGCAGGCUUAACACAUGCAAGUCGAGCGGGGAAGGGUAGCUUGCUACCUGACCUAGCGGCGGACGGGUGAGUAAUGCUUAGGAAUCUGCCUAUUAGUGGGGGACAACAUUCCGAAAGGAAUGCUAAUACCGCAUACGCCCUACGGGGGAAAGCAGGGGAUCUUCGGACCUUGCGCUAAUAGAUGAGCCUAAGUCAGAUUAGCUAGUUGGUGGGGUAAAGGCCUACCAAGGCGACGAUCUGUAGCGGGUCUGAGAGGAUGAUCCGCCACACUGGGACGGAGACACGGCCCAGACUCCUACGGGAGGCAGCAGUGGGGAAUAUUGGACAAUGGGCGCAAGCCUGAUCCAGCCAUGCCGCGUGUGUGAAGAAGGCCUUUUGGUUGUAAAGCACUUUAAGCGAGGAGGAGGCUACCGAGAUUAAUACUCUUGGAUAGUGGACGUUACUCGCAGAAUAAGCACCGGCUAACUCUGUGCCAGCAGCCGCAGUAA